rnacentral:rRNA from 1 species
UACGUAGGGGGCGAGCGUUAUCCGGAUUUACUGGGUGUAAAGGGAGCGUAGACGGUUUUUCAAGUCUGAAGUGAAAGCCCGCGGCUCAACUGCGGAACGGCUUUGGAAACUGAGUAACUGGAGUGCUGGAGGGGCAGGCGGAAUUCCGUGUGUAGCGGUGAAAUGCAUAGAUAUCGCGCAGAACUCCGAUUGCGAAGGCAGCCUGCCGCAGCGUUACUGACGCUGAAGCUCGAAAGCGCGGGUAUCGAACAGG